GACGAACGCUGGCGGCGUGCUUAACACAUGCAAGUCGAGCGAGAAAGCACCUUCGGGUGUGAGUACAGCGGCGAACGGGUGAGUAGCACGUGGGCAACCUGCCCCAGAGACUGGGAUAACGUCCCGAAAGGGACGCUAAUACCGGAUGAUGCGCGAUCUGCCAAGUAGGUCGCGCCAAAUGGUAGCUUCGGCCUCUGCUCUGGGAUGGGCCCGCGCCGGAUUAGCUUGUUGGUGAGGUAACGGCUCACCAAGGCGACGAUCCGUAGCUGGUCUGAGAGGACGAGCAGCCACACUGGGACUGAGACACGGCCCAGACUCCUACGGGAGGCAGCAGUGGGGAAUCUUGCGCAAUGGGCGAAAGCCUGACGCAGCGACGCCGCGUGAGCGAAGACGGCCUUCGGGUUGUAAAGCUCUGUCAGGAGGGACGAAGCCACUCAGGUGAAUAGCCGAGAGGGUGACGGUACCUCCAGAGGAAGCCCCGGCUAACUACGUGCCAGCCGCCGCAGUAACAC
rnacentral:rRNA from 1 species